rnacentral:rRNA from 1 species
AGUGAACGCUGGCGGCAGGCCUAAUACAUGCAAGUCGAACGGCAGCACAGUGGAGCUUGCUCCAUGGGUGGCGAGUGGCGGACGGGUGAGGAAUACAUGGGAAUCUGCCCAGUCGUGGGGAUAACGUAUGGAAACGUACGCUAAUACCGCAUGCGCCCUUCGGGGGAAAGUCGGGGACCGCAAGGCCUGACGCGAUUGGAUGAGCCCAUGUUCGAUUAGCUAGUUGGCGGGGUAACGGCCCACCAAGGCGACGAUCGAUAGCUGGUCUGAGAGGAUGAUCAGCCACACUGGAACUGAGACACGGUCCAGACUCCUACGGGAGGCAGCAGUAGGGAAUAUUGGACAAUGGGCGCAAGCCUGAUCCAGCCAU